UCUAGGUACAGUGUUCUUUUGAAAACGCUAUCUAUUGUGGUCCAUCUAUAGCAUUUUUUUACGGAAAAGCAAUAAAUUAUAGUACAGGAACAAAGCUUUGCACUUUGAUAGCGUUUGCUGGACUUUGUCAUAACGUUCAAAAGCGCGACCUGAAAAAAUUAGAAAAAUUCACGCUCGCUCUCAAAGCUGGGCCCCACAAUUUUCAUGGGUUUUUUUUAAUUCCCCAAGGUGCUUUCUCAGACCUAAUAGAGGAUAGAGGAGCUUUUCUCUCUACAAUCUAGCCAGAGGAAGCUUUCCCCUUUGUUUCUCGAUAUGUUUCCGUAGAGACUAGAGAGUUUGGUCCUCUCGUUUCUUCCGUUGAUUCUACGAUAGAUCUGGCGAUUUGGAGUCUCUGAUGAUGAAAUCGACUUAUCCAGAUCCAGCUAUUAGCGAUCUGCGCCACUUGGUGGUUUUUUUUUACAGGUCUGUUCCUCAACCACUCUGUUGUGCCCCACUCGGUUGCUCCGAUUAUAAGACCGCGAUGCCACUAACGUGCUUCUUCAACGAAGAAUUAUCUUGUUGGAUUCGUAGGCUCGGACACUCUCUAACUAUGGUGGAAGAGGAGCAUUCUACAGAGCUAGGCUGCUGCAUUCUACCUUGAAUGAGUUCAUGAGAAUCCAAUAAUGCUGCUUUGAUUGAGGAAGACAAGUGAUUAAGCAUCAUAAUUCAUAAAGUAUGUGAGUUAAACAAUUCAUAAAGUAUGUGAGUUAGACAAGUGGAAAGUCUUUUUGUUGAUAUUUAGUGACAAGGCUUGUACUCCAUUUUUGGGAUACAUAGAUAUUUUGGAAGGCCUUUUUGUUGAUAUUUGGUAACAAGGCUUGUACUAGAUAGAAAUGUUGGAAGGACAUUUAGUAUAUUGAAUUUCUUUUGUAAUGGUAAUCGCUUUGAUGUUUGGAGACA